GAAAAAAAUAAUUAAAAACGUGCUUAACACAUGCAAGUCGAGCGAGAAGAUUCCCUUCGGGGAUGAUUCUAGCGGCGGACGGGUGAGUAACACGUGGGUAACCUGCCUUAUAGUGGGGAAUAGCCUUCCGAAAGGAAGAUUAAUACCGCAUAAGGUUGUAGCUUCGCAUGAAGUAGCAAUUAAAGGAGCAAUUCGCUAUAAGAUGGACCCGCGUCGCAUUAGCUAGUUGGUGAGGUAACGGCUCACCAAGGCGACGAUGCGUAGCCGACCUGAGAGGGUGAUCGGCCACAUUGGGACUGAGACACGGCCCAGACUCCUACGGGAGGCAGCAGUGGGGAAUAUUGCACAAUGGGGGAAACCCUKWUGCRRCAACGCCGCGUGAGUGAUGAAGGUCUUUGGAUUGUAAAACUCUGUCUUUGGGGACGAUAAUGACGGUACCCAAGGAGGAAGCCACGGCUAACUACGUGCCAGCAGCCGCGGUAAUACGUAGGUGGCAAGCGUUGUCCGGAUUUACUGGGCGUAAAGGGAGCGUAGGCGGAUUUUUAAGUGGGAUGUGAAAUACCCGGGCUUAACCUGGGUGCUGCAUUC
rnacentral:rRNA from 1 species